rnacentral:rRNA from 1 species
GACGAACGCUGGCGGCGUGCUUAACACAUGCAAGUCGAACGCUGAAGCUCAGCUUUUGUUUGGUGGAUGAGUGGCGAACGGGUGAGUAACACGUGAGUAACCUUCCUCCUUCUUUGGGAUAACGCCCGGCAACGGGUGCUAAUACUUGCGAUUCACUGGUCUUCGCGUGGGGGCUGGUGGAAAGGGUUUUUCUGGUGGGGGAUGGUCGCGCUGCCUAUCAGCUGGUUGGUGGGGUGAUGGCCUACCAAGGCUUUGACGGGUAGCGGGGAUGAAACGGUGAACGGUAACAUUGAGACUGAGAUGCGGCCCAGAGUAGUACGGGGGGCAGAAGUGGGGAAUAUUGGAGAAUGGGUGAAAGACUGAUGCAGCGAGUGUGAAUGAGGGAUGGGGACUUUAGGGUUGUGAACCUUUUGCGCUAAUGCUGAAGGCGAAACAAUGGUUGUGGUGAGGGUAGUGGGUAAAGAAGCGCCGGCUAACUACGUG